AGUGAAUAGAUACCCUGGUAGUCCACGCCGUAAACGAUGAUGGCUGGAUGUUGGCGAUACACCGUCAGCGUCUGAGGGAAACCAUUAAGCCAUCCACCUGGGGAGUACGGCCGCAAGGCUGAAACUCAAAGGAAUUGACGGGGGCCCGCACAAGCGGAGGAACAUGUGGUUUAAUUCGAUGAUACGCGAGGAACCUUACCCGGGCUAGAACGCACUUGGAAUGCGUGGGAAACUGCGCAGCCCUUCGGGGCCGGGUGCGAGGUGCUGCAUGGUUGUCGUCAGCUCGUGCCGUGAGGUGUCGGGUUAAGUCCCAUAACGAGCGCAACCCCUAUCGCUAGUUGCCAGCGGGUCAAGCCGGGGACUCUAGCGAAACUGCCAGCGUAAGCUGUGAGGAAGGUGGGGAUGACGUCAAAUCAGCACGGCCCUUACGUCCGGGGCUACACACGUGUUACAAUGGCCGGUACAGAGGGCAGCCACCCCGCGAGGGGUCGCUAAUCUCCAAAACCGGGUCCCAGUUCGGAUCGGAGUCUGCAACCCGACUCCGUGAAGUU
rnacentral:rRNA from 1 species